UCUGGGGUGACGAAAUAGGUAGACGUGCAUAACUGUUAAUUAUGUGAUAGAUAUACUGCAAUUUAUUUAUCGUGGAGGUUCGAGUCCUUCCCCCAGAGCCA
rnacentral:tRNA from 1 species